rnacentral:rRNA from 1 species
UGGGGAAUAUUGCGCAAUGGGGGAAACCCUGACGCAGCAACGCCGCGUGAGUGAAGACGUAUCUCGGUAUGUAAAGCUCUAUCAGCGGGGAAGAAGGAAGACGGUACCCGACUAAGAAGCCCCGGCUAACUACGUGCCAGCAGCCGCGGUAAUACGUAGGGGGCGAGCGUUAUCCGGAUUUACUGGGUGUAAAGGGAGCGUAGACGGCGUCGCAAGUCUGAAGUGAAAGCCCGUGGCUCAACCGCGGAACCGCUUUGGAAACUGCGUGGCUGGAGUGCUGGAGAGGUAAGCGGAAUUCCUGGU